rnacentral:rRNA from 1 species
UACAGAGGUCUCAAGCGUUGUUCGGAUUCAUUGGGCGUAAAGGGUGCGUAGGCGGCGUGGUAAGUCGGAUGUGAAAUCUCGGAGCUUAACUCCGAAACUGCAUUCGAUACUGCCGUGCUUGAGGACUGGAGAGGAGACUGGAAUUUACGGUGUAGCGGUGAAAUGCGUAGAUAUCGUAAGGAAGACCAGUGGCGAAGGCGGGUCUCUGGACAGUUCCUGACGCUGAGGCACGAAGGCCGGGGGAGCAAACGGG